rnacentral:rRNA from 1 species
AAUCAACGCUGGCGGCGUGCCUAACACAUGCAAGUCGAGCGAGAAAGUGGGGGCAACUCCAUGAGUACAGCGGCGACCGGGUGAGUAACACGUGACUAACCUACCCUUGAGUGGGGAAUAACUCCGGGAAACCGGAGCUAAUACCGCAUAACACCGUAAGGUCAAAGGAGCAAUUCGCUUAAGGAGGGGUCGCGGUUGAUUAGCUAGUUGGUGGGGUAAUGGCCCACCAAGGCGAUGAUCAAUAGCCGGCCUGAGAGGGCGCACGGCCACACUGGAACUGAAACACGGUCCAGACUCCUACGGGAGGCAGCAGUGGGAAUUUUGCGCAAUGGGGGAAACCCUGACGCAGCAACGCCGCGUGAAGGAUGAAGGUCUUUGGAUUGUAAACUUCUUUCGUUCGGGACGAUAAUGACGGUACGGAAGAAGAAGCCCCGGCUAACUUCGUGCCAGCCGCCGCAGU